rnacentral:lncRNA from 1 species
AUUUUAGCCCUGUUAGUGUAGAAUGGUUCUUCUACUUGAGAAAAGAAUAGAAAAUACACCAAUAGUAAAUUGCUGCUCAAAUAAUUCUUGGACAGAAUUGUUAAAGGUUAAUGGCUUUCGAAGAAGUGGCAGGAAAUUAGAGAUCCCAAAUAAUAACAGAACUUUAAGCUUGAAAGCUUGACUUAUAUUACUCCACAGUUUUAAGGAGAAAAAUAAAAGGUUAAAAUCUUAUAUAGUGUGAAGUCAAUCUUGUUCCGGUCCUCUACACCCAAAGAUGCUAUAAAGGGUUAAGAAAGCAAGAAAGGAAGGAACUGAAGGAAAAUUUGGCAGCACCACUCAAUAAGACCUUGGUAGGACAGAUUUUCUUACACCUUGGUAUAAUCAUAUUAUAGAAAUAAUGAAGGUAAUUGUUGAGAAUUAGAAACCCUAAUUCUACCGCCAAAAGCAAUAAUGAGUUUGUAGAAAAAAAUAAACACAAAAGCACAGAAGAUUUAUAGAAAUACGUCAUCUUCCAUCACCGCAGUAAAUCACUAUCAUGAAAAGAAAUUUGUAAGAGAAAAUCACUCACCCUAUCUUCUUUAACCUCUCUAUUAUGAUGGUAAUUUAAAACACUAAUGACGACUCUCUAUUUAUAAGAUAAAUGAGGACAAAAUCAAAAUUACAAUUGCAAAAUGCCAUAAUCGUCCUUAAUGAAAUUUAUUUGAAAGCAUACUGCAUGCACUCUAAAAACGUAUGAAUGGUAAAAUCCCCUCCACUGGUGAAGAAAAUUUUCAUUUUACUCAAAUGAGACCUUAUUUCAGAAAGCACAGUGGAGAAUGUAUUAGCAAAAACUAUACAGUCCUAUUUGCUAUUUUGCUUCAAAUCCUCUUGGUUUCUCUCAACUUUUGGAUUCAAAUAAAUUAAUGCCACCAUCUAAUUACAUAGAAU